rnacentral:rRNA from 1 species
UACGGGGGGGGGAAGCGUUGUUCGGAAUUACUGGGCGUAAAGGGCUCGUAGGCGGCCAACUAAGUCAGACGUGAAAUCCCUCAGCUUAACUGGGGAACUGCGUCUGAUACUGGAUGGCUUGGAUCCGGAAGAGGGAUGCGGAAUUCCAGGUGUAGCGGUGAAAUGCGUAGAUAUCUGGAGGAACACCGGUGGCGAAGGCGGCAUCCUGGACCGACACUGACACUGAGGAGCGAAAGCCAGGGGAGCAAACGGG